UAAGGGAUAUUGGUCAAUGGGGCGGGAGCCUGAACCAGCCAUGCCGCGUGAGGGAAUGAGGCCCUACGGGUCGUAAACCUCUUUUGCCGGGGGAUAACGGGCGCCACGUGUGGCGCCGUGAAGGUACCCGGAGAAUAAGCAUCGGCUAACUCCGUGCCAGCAGCCGCGGUAAUACGGAGGAUGCGAGCGUUAUCCGGAUUUAUUGGGUUUAAAGGGUGCGCAGGCGGGCGUCUAAGUCAGCGGUGAAAGUUCCCGGCUCAACCGGGUCAGUGCCGAUGAUACUGGGGGUCUUGAAUGCGGUCGAGGCCGGCGGAAUGUGGCGUGUAGCGGUGAAAUGCAUAGAUAUCACACAGAACACCGAUUGCGAAGGCAUCUCACGAAUCCGCAAUUGACGCUGAGGCACGAAAGUGU
rnacentral:rRNA from 1 species